GGUCGGGAUCCGAUUCGGAUCAACUCGGAUCUGGUCCGAGAUCUAGAUUGAGAUCCGAUCUAAAAUUCGGAUCAGAAUUCGGUCCAAGAUCUGAUCCGGAUCCAGAUCACCUACAUGUUAUUUACUAUUUAACAAGGAGAAAAAAAGUUUCUGUGGAUGGUUCAAAACUGUAAAAUUACCUGAUGCUUACGUUUCAAAUGUAUCGCGGUGUGUUGGCAACAACAACGAUAAAAUCUUUAAAUCUCUGACAUAA
rnacentral:lncRNA from 1 species